rnacentral:rRNA from 1 species
GACAGAGGGCGCAAGUGUUAUUCGUUGUGAUUGGGCGUAUAGGGUAAGUAGGUGGUAAACAGUGCUUAGACAAAAAACGCAGAGUAUUCCUAUGCGCGCCGUCUUCGAUAAAUUUACUAGAGUUGCAGAGAGGUUGGGGUAAAUCUGUGUGUAGGGGUCCAAUCCUGCGAUUUAUGGCUGAACAUCAACUGGCGAAGGCACCUUUCUUGCUGCAACUGACACUCAAUUACGGAAGCUUGAGGAGCAAACGGG